ACCCUAAUUUCAUUUCUUCUUCUCUUUCCUCCUCCUCUCUCUCUCUCUCUCUCUCUCUCUCUCUCUCUCUCUCUCUAUUUAAGGGGCAUCUAACGAUGGAUCGGGAGCCGCCGUCUCAGUAGAUCUUCAGAUUUCCGGCCGAUUUUGCUAGUUUCUCUGGUUUUGUUGAAUCAACGCCAGAGAUGUUAAGAAGCUUUAAGACGCAUGGAUCUAUACCUGCAAUGGCCUGAUGAUGCACACCAAGAAGAGGGAAGCAGAGGAAAGAGGCUUCAAGGUUGCAAACGGUGAACAGAAAGCUGACGGCGAUGAACAAGCUUUUGAUGGAGGAAAACGAUAGGUUGCAGAAACAGGUGUUGCACUUGGUCUAUGAAAACAGUUACUUCCGCCAACAGACUCAAAAUACAACUCUGGCCAUAACAGACACAAGUUGUGAAUCGGUAGUGACAAGUGGUCAACACCAUUCAGCAUCCACCAAGGGAUGGGAAUUUGUCUAUUGCAGAGGAGACUUUAGCAGAGUUUCUUUCACAGGCUACUGGAACUGUUGUGGAGUGGGUCCAAUUGCAUGGUAUGAAGAAAUUUGUGAAGAUUGAUCAAUGAUUGUUGUGAAAAUGCAUACAAGUCCAGACACAGCUUGCUCACACUCUGCGUAACUACACAGCUUCCUACUCACAUGCAUGGAGGGAAUGGAAAUGUUGCUUACAUUGAUACUGAGGGAACUUUCUGGACUGAGCGAAUUAUACCUAUAGCUGAAAGAUUCGGCUUGGACCCAAGAGUUGUUCUCGAUAAUGUAAUUAUUGAUCUCUAUAUACACUUUCAAUUGAAGAAAUGAUAGCACCCGAUCUCAAAUUGUUGAUAUGCACAAGUCUCAGUUUCUUUUAUCUUGACAUUUUAACUUGGUCAUUCCAGCCGUUGCCUACAUCAAGAGUAUUGUACAAUAUAAA